CGUUGUCACCUCCCUAUAAAUAGAGAGAGGAGGUGAUAUGUGUGGAAGGAAAAGAAAGAAAGGGAAUGAAAGAAAGGAAAGAAAAGGAAAAGGAGGAGAGGAAGAUAAGGGAAAGAAAGUAAGAGAAGGAAAGAAAAAAUAGUAGAAAUCGAGACGAUUUUUGAUAGUGGAAAGAAAUAAUGAGGUAUUAAAGUUAAGGAAACAAUGCGAUUCAGAAAUAACUUUUGGAAAGUCUUAGAUGCGGGGCUGAGGAAUAGACACACACAGCACUUUUAUGAUAUUUUUAUAUAUAAAUAUCGGCAUUUUGGUCAAUGAAUUUUGUAAUAGAAAAUAGAAGCUCCAAUGGUUAUUUUGGUACUCUCACUUAAAUAUUA